GUCCUUGUUGAUACCUCAGUCAGUAGAGCAUGAGACUCUUAAUCUUGGCGUCGUGGGUUCGAGUCCCAUGUUGGACA